AUUUUCUUCUGACUUCAACCCAACACAUUUUAGAGCAUAAACGCAAUCUUCUAUUUUUAGAAGAUGAUAAGGUAAAAAAAGAGAAAGGAAAGGAAUUUUUUGGGUUGGGAGCAAGGGGGAAGAAAAACGAGAAUUUAGCUGCCCACCCAGGAACAAAAACAAGUUGCUUCCUUGCCGAUUCUGCCACAGCCAUAUCUGGACCUUGAUAUGAUACUAGCAUGUGUCACAGAUUGAAGGGGCAUUUGAAAUGUGAGUAGUCGACGUAGCCUCCACCUAACUGGUUGGUGGGAAUGGAAAAGAAUCUUCUCCAACAGUAACCCAAAAAGAGUUAACCAGCAAAUACAUAUCUUGUUGCACCAUCUUCAUGCAUAGUACAUGUACAAGCUGUUUGCAGCAGCACAGGCAAUUGAAUUUUCAGUUGGAUGCCAUGCAAGAUGCAGCAACUUUGUUGUGAAAUCAAAAGAAUUUCCAUUUGCAUC
rnacentral:misc_RNA from 1 species